CCUACGGGUGGCAGCAGUGAGGAAUAUUGGUCAAUGGGCGCUAGCCUGAACCAGCCAAGUAGCGUGAAGGAUGACUGCCCUAUGGUUUGUAAACUUCUUUUACAUGGGAAUAAAGUGCAGUAUGUAUACUGCUUUGAAUGUACCUUAUGCGUAAGGAUCGGCUAACCUCGUGCCAGCAGCCGCGGUAAUACGGAGGAUCCGGUCGUUAUCCGGAUUUAUUGGGUUUAAAGGGAGCGUAGGCGGGUUGUUAAGUCAGAUGUGAAAGUUUGGGGCUCAACCGUAGAAUUGCAGUUGAUACUGGCAUCCUUGAGUAUAGUAGAGGGAGGCAGAAUUCGAGGUGUAGCGGUGAAAUGCGUAGAUAUCACGAAGAACUCCGAUUGCGAAGGCAGCCUGCUGGACUGUAACUGACGCUGAUGCUCGAAAGUGUGGGUAUCAAACAGGAUUAGAUACCCUAGUAGUC
rnacentral:rRNA from 1 species